CUACGGGUCGCUCCAGUGAGGAAUAUUGCACAAUUGGGGGAACCCUGAUGCAGCAACGCCGCGUGGAGGAUGACGCAUUUCGGUGUGUAAACUCCUUUAUAUGUCAAGAAAAUGACGGUAGCAUAUGAAUAAGCACCGGCUAACUCCGUGCCAGCAGCCGCGGUAAUACGGAGGGUGCAAGCGUUACUCGGAAUCACUGGGCGUAAAGGACGCGUAGGCGGGUUGGAAAGUCAGGUGUGAAAUCCUACAGCUUAACUGUAGAACUGCACUUGAAACUUCUAAUCUAGAGUAUGGGAGGGGGAGAUGGAAUUAGUGGUGUAGGGGUAAUAUCCGUAGAUAUCGCUAGGAAUACCUAAAGCGAAGGCGAUCUCCUGGAACAUUACUGACGCUAAGGCGUGAAAGCAUGGGGAGCAAACAGGAUUAGAUACCCGCGUAGUC
rnacentral:rRNA from 1 species